UCCUCCGCCCGCCUCCUCCUCCUCAGCAUCCCAUUCUCCCCCAAAUCGCCCGAGUAAACCCUAGCUAAACCCCGGCCUCCGCCGCCCCUCCCCACUCCGGCGAGCCGGCGAUCGUGACGAACUUCAAUGGGGGCACGGACGCCGAGCGCGCUGGUAAGGCUCAGGCUGCUGGGCGGCGCGGGGCAACAAGACCCGCCACAAGUCGUCUUCAACCGCCUCGAGGCGAGGGGAUCAAGGAAAAGGUGUACGCCGAGGGGACCCAAAUCGUCAUCUAGUGGCUCCAGAAGCCGAUCAUCUACGACGUCUGCGCACGACCCAACCCAAGCUGGUGGAGAACACCUUCGGGAGCCGGGAUUGGCGAGAAUUAGUCCCCGUGUUCUUACACAACCAAUACCAGAGACUACCAACUAUGGAUAGGGCCCACUGGGAGAGAACUAUAAUGAGAGAGUGUUGCCUUCAAUCAUUCAUGAAACACCCAAAGCUGUGGUUGCCCAAUACAAUGCUAAUCACACAGAGAGGCCGUGAGCAGGGAGAUCAGGAAGGUUCUGACAGAGAGGGCAAAGAAUUUCAACAUUGCUCUGGAUGAUGUGUCCAUUACCAGUCUCAGCUUUUGUAAAGAGUUCACUCAUGCCAUUGAAGCCAAACAGGUUGCUGCUCAGAAAGCUGAGCGUGCCAAGUUCAUUGUUGAGAAGGCCGAGCAAGAUAAGAAAAGUGCAAUUAUCAGGGCACAGGUGAGAAUUGAUAUUCAUGUUCUUACACGGCCCAUGCCAGAGAGACUACCAGCUAUGUAACAGGACCCUCUCGGAGAACUAUAAUGAGAGUGUUGCCUUCAAUCAUUCAUGAAACACUCAAAGCUGUGGUUUCCCAAUACAAUGCAAGUCAGCUAAUCACACAGAGAGAGGCUGUGAGCAGGGAGAUCAGGAAGAUUUUGACAGUGAGGCUAAGAAUUUCAAUAUUGCUCUGGAUGGUGUGUCCGUUACUAGUCUCAGUUUUGGUAAAGAGUUCACUCAUGCUAUUGAAGCCGAACAGGUUGCUGCACACCAAGCUGAGCAUGCCAAGUUCAUUGUUGAGAAGGCUGAGCAAGACAAGAAAAGUGCAAUUGUUCUUUAUGCCCUGUUGACAGUUUCAGUCAUAGUUACUACCACCGACAGAUUGAAGCUUCCAGGGAGAUCACCCAUACCAUCGCAAGCUCCAACAACAAGGGUGAGGCUAAGAGUGCAGAGCUCAUUAGUCAGGCCAUCGCCAACGACCCUGCUUUUGUCCCGCUCUGACAGAUUGAAGCUGCCAGGGAGAUCGCUUAUACCAUCACAAGCUACAACAACAAGGUGUUCCUCGACUCGAGCGACCUGCUGCCUGGGCUCAGGUCACUGACAUCUUGGCCAAAUACAAAAAAUGAGACCAUUCCCUGUCAUUCAUGCUAUGGUUGCUGUGUAGAGAGUAGAAGGUGUCGAGUUCAUUCUUGAGAAGGCUGAGCAAGACAAGAAAAAAUCAAUUAUCAGGGCACUGGUGAGCGAAACAGUAACUUGAUAGUAUUUCUUUCACUAGCAUAGUGCCCAUGCAUUGCCACGCAAUCAAAAGGAAACGGCCGAUAACAUAAUUGUCUCAAUGAGUGCAUUUAUUUUGGAUUGUCCAUCAGUUAGCUGCAACAAGAUAACGACAUUAUAUUUCAUACUACCCAAAUAACAAUAUAUAGUUCAUAACAAUCCAAUACAAGACGAGAGACAAAAUAACAAAAAGAAAGACUUGUUGCGCUUAAUUCGGAACUUAUUGCUCAUAUUUUCCAAAAUCUUGAAAUGCUCCUAGAAUGUUUUCCCAUGCUAACACAAGUUCAGCAAGAAUGGACUCGUGAAGAUCUAUAGAUGGUGGUGGUAAACUGGUAAUUGUCGUGCAACAAUUGUAAAAGUAGUUUGUUGUUACGCACUGAUUUAUCAGCGUACAGCCUGCGGACAUGAGAUGAACCCACUCUUUUCCACGGCGGGCCAAAUUUAAAUAGAUCGUAAAACAGUAGAUAACAAAAUCUUCUCGAAGUUGAAGCAGAAAUUCAGUAAGGUUUGUCACAUAUGUCGUUUUAUUAACCUCGACAAGCAGCACAACAAGAAACUGCCAAUGUGUUAUGUGUCGUGCCUCAUGCUUAUUUGAAUGUCCUCAUAUUUCUUUUGUAUAAAUAAAAUUUGUUUUCAUUUCUGGUGGUGUUCAAGGAAUCUAAUCAUCUUGUAAAGUGAACAAAGCUGCCCUCGAUCCUUUGUGCAAAUAGCUUGUUCAAAGCUAGUUAUAAUUGCUUCUGUUAUAUCUAGCACAAACUAAACUCAAUUCUGCAGCUAUCUGUUCUAACCUCUUGACAUCAGGGACCUUAUGUUGUGUCCAUUACUUUUACACAUGAUAUAGUUAAAGGCAGGUCCAUUACUUUUACGCAUGAUAUAGUUAAAGUGAAUAAGUAGUUCUUAACGUAUCCUUAUACAACAACCAUUUUUUUAAAUAAUAAUAAAUCUUUGCAAAAAUAGAGGAUCUAUUUAUUGGAACCCUUCCCUCUACUGUAUCUUUGACCCUUGAGUUAAAGCUUGUGGGGUUGCGCAAAAUGUCAAAACAAAUUUGAAACCUAACUAUUGGUGUGAGUGUUUUUUUUCCUUACAGUGAACCCAACUUAAAGGACAUAAUUUUGUUUGGAAAGACACCAACACCCAGCAGUUCAGAGAAUAUAUUCACUUAUUCAGAAAUUUCGCCAUUGUUGCCUCUGCUUUAUUUUUACUGAAAUGCUAAAAUCCGACGUCAGAUUUUUAGGCAUGGCAAAUCUGAUGUUUUCAUGGCAAUUUAUAUUAACACGAUGAUGUCAAAUUUAGUUUGCAAGGACGGCAACUUUCUCACAACAAAAUGAACUGGGGCAGAUUUGCCAUGCUCGCUAACUAAACUUUCCAUCCUCGGGGAACAUAAUUUGCCAUGAAAAACAUUCAAUUCGCCAUGGUCAAAAAUCUGCCGUCAGAUUGGUAGCGGAGUCCUAUUUUUAUUGGUUUAUGAUAGUCAACCCAAACUUGAAAUCUGACUAUUAGUGUGAGUGUUUUUCUUAUACUGAACCCAACUUAAAGGAUUUAAUUUUGUUUGGAAAGACACCAACCCCAAGAAGUUCAGAGAAUAUAUUCAUUUAUUCAGAAAUUUCACUGCUGUUUCCUCCGCUUUAUUUGGGGAGAUACAAAUUCAGUUGAAGGAUCUGAUAUAAUACACAUUAGCAAUGAACUUCGCUUGGCUCUCUCAGGAUCUCAGGAUACCACAGCAACACCAACAUAUAAACUCUUGCUAGAAAAAUAUGUGGUGAUGUUGCUCGAGUAAUUAGGAAUGGUUGAAUAGAUCAACCGAUUUUCAUGUUUGGUACAAGAUUUUAACAUGGCAUUUUGCAUUGUGUGGAAUAGAAUCUGUGUUUAAAUACAACAAAUAGAGUAUCUUGAAUUAUCGAUGUAUGCAUUAGUUAGCACGUAAGGCACAAGGUGCGUCACUGACUGAGAAGGUGGAUAAGGUGAGGAGUUGGGGCAACAAGCCUGAGAGUCGUCGGAGGAGUGUUGGUGUCAUGCGACAAGUGCAUGGCACCAUGGGAGAGGCAAUGGAAGAUUGUUCAACGUAUUGAAUUGGCGGAGGACGGCGAUUGGUGAGGAGAGGCUUCUGGAGACUGCGAUUGGCAUUGGGGAACGAUGAGGAAGAAAGAGAGAUUGGGGAAGAAAGGCGGCGGAUGGGAGACGUCGAGGAAAUCGUUGGGGUUUCCAAGAGCUAGCUGGCCUGUUUGCUCUGUAUACAGAGUAACCGGAUGCCUGCAGUGCAAACUCAUAGUUUUUCUUUAUCCUCAGCUUUCUGUUUUUUAAUCACGGCUGCAGGUUCCAAUAGGUCCCACAUGUAAGGGUAGAGGAUGGUCUACCCGGAGGGGACUCACAUCGUCAUCCCAUGGCUCGAGAGGCCCAUCAUCUACGACAUCCACGCCAGAACACAACCUGGUAGAGAGCACCUCCGGGAGCCGGAAUCUCCAGAUGGUGGGAAUUGGUCUUCGUGUUACAUGACCUAUGCCAGAGACUACCAACUAUGUACAGGACCUUAGGGGAGAAUUAUAAUGGCAGAGUGUUGCCUUCAAUCAUUCAUGAAACGCUCAAAGCUGUGGUUGCCCAAUACAAUGCCAGUCAGCUAAUCACACAGAGAGAUUAAACCCAGUAAGAGGGACAUGCUGCUUGAUUGCUCGCGUAUGCCAUGUCGGAUCGAGCGGUGCCAGGUGAUUGGGUACAUGGAUUUUGUCUUGCCCAUUUGGUUCGUCCACAUGCAACAUGCGUCGUGUUCCUCUCGGUCGUGGAGGGCGCGUUCCUGGCCAGCCUCGAGGGUGGCGGUGUGGCCGGCGACGAGCUUCAGCUCUGCGUCCAGAGCGGUGACACCAGCACGUGCGCCAGUUUUUUGCUCCUCGGUCACUGAUGGUUUUGUUCUGUCUACGGCGAUGGGAUUGCUUCCUCUGCUCCGUUUGUGUGGUUGAGGAAAUGCAUGAGCUGUCAAUCAGAAAGAACUUGAAUUCUUCAAGCAAGAACUCCAGACUUGGCUUUCAAGUAACUACAAUGUGAUAUUGAAAUUUAAUUGUCAGUUCGCACUAUCGCUUCUACAAGAUCACCUUCCAGUUUACACCAUUCUCCUGAAGCCUGAACUAUGUGAGUUAUCAAGAAGCACAAUUUGCAUGAUGCUAAUCAUGAUAAGGACCAUAAUGCCUCCCACAUCAAGGGGUUGCUGAUCAAUUUCAUCCACUCAGAGUGGCCAUUUCUUUUCAAAGUUCCUUCUUUCUUGGUUGAUUUCAUUACUCCAAUUAUCAAGGCAACCAAUAACCAGAGCAUAGCUGUCAAGUCGUUUUAUUUAUUGCCAGACUAUGAAGCAUGGAAAGAGCAGCUAGGAGGAAAUGAUAUCUCAUAUAUGAAACCAUGAAUCAGGGAUCGUUGGGUUAUCUGAGCUAGUAUAACUCCGGAACGACAAAGUGGUUCAGGUCUGUGGCCAUGACGAUCCAAUACUUCAGGUGACAUUGUGAACCAGGGAGAGGCAAAGAGUGCGCAGAGCUCAUUGGUAAGGCCAUCGCCAGCUUUCGUCGCGCCGGACAGAUUGAAGCCGCCAGGAGAUCGCCCACACCAUCUCAGCCUCCAACUACAAGGUGUUCCUCGACUCGGGCGACCUGCCUGCUUGGGCUCCAGUCGCUCAAGAUCUGCAAUAACAAGAAAUGAGACCGUUUCCUGUCAUACAUGUUACGGUUACCGUCGACUGUCUCCAUGGAAGAAGAGUACUUUUGAGAGGAACAGACACUUAGUUUCUAGCAUUCCCGACCCGAAAACAACAAAGACACAUGUCUGGGCGGUUAUGUGGUGAUUAUGCUGGCCGUUUCAUGUUCAUCUUGGCUUGUUCUUUUUGUGCCACGCAUUUCAUUGGUGCUGUGAGUUCUCUUGAGGCAUUGCUUAGUUUGCUUCUGUAUGGAACAUUGGAGCUACAAGUACAAAGCUUUUCAUAUUUACUACGAGAUAAAAUAAAGAUAAUUAAACAACCACAAAA